UUGAAGGGCUCAUGUUUGUAAGAGGAAGUUGUGUAGAGCAAAGCAACUUUACUGGUCCGUGGUUGGCUGAGGAUCAGGAAGGGAUAAGAAAGUAGAGGGAGACAAAAACAAACGAGAGAGAGAGA